AGAGUUUGAUUAUGGCUCAGGAUGAACGCUGGCGGCGUGCUUAACACAUGCAAGUCGAACGAGAACCAAUGGAUUGAGGAUUCGUCCAAAUGAAAUUGGGGAAAGUGGCGGACGGGUGAGUAACGCGUGAGCAAUCUGCCUUGGAGUGGGGAAUAACGGUUGGAAACAGCCGCUAAUACCGCAUGAUGCAAUUGGGAGGCAUCUCUCUGAUUGCCAAAGAUUUAUCGCUCUGAGAUGAGCUCGCGUCUGAUUAGCUAGUUGGCGGGGCAACGGCCCACCAAGGCGACGAUCAGUAGCCGGACUGAGAGGUUGGCCGGCCACAUUGGGACUGAGACACGGCCCAGACUCCUACGGGAGGCAGCAGUGGGGAAUAUUGGGCAAUGGGCGCAAGCCUGACCCAGCAACGCCGCGUGAAGGAAGAAGGCUUUCGGGUUGUAAACUUCUUUUCUGAGGGACGAACAAAUGACGGUACCUCAGGAAUAAGCCACGGCUAACUACGUGCCAGCAGCCGCGGUAAUACGUAGGUGGCAAGCGUUAUCCGGAUUUAUUGGGUGUAAAGGGCGUGUAGGCGGGAAAGCAAGUCAGAUGUGAAAACUAUGGGCUCAACCCAUAGCCUGCAUUUGAAACUGUUUUUCUUGAGUGCUGGAGAGGCAAUCGGAAUUCCGUGUGU
rnacentral:rRNA from 1 species